rnacentral:ncRNA from 2 species
GGUCAUGAGCGUCAGCGCCAAGCCCUGGCUCGCUGACCGGCAACCCUCGCGACGCGGUGGGGUGCCCCAGGUGACGACCGGACCGGACGACGACUUCGGUAAGCGCGGAGG